UCCCCCUCGUCCUCGCUGUCUCCACCAUCGCCGACCUUCGCGUAUGCCGGCUACGCGCUACACAUCCUCGGCGGCCUCGCCGACGUGCUCCACGUUCUUCCAAUUCGAGUACAAGCUGCUCCCCGAGGACCUCUUUGUCGUCUGCAAUUGAAGCGCCACGAGCUCCACACCCGCGUCAUCCUCCAAUCGAGUCGGUCCGUCUCGGAGAUGGCUGGUCUGAUCCCUGGUUUGAUCUGUGAUGUUGACGUGGAGGAACUAUGCUCUCCUAUUGCCAUCUACUAAUAAUAUUCUUUGUCAAGGACCAAGUGAUUAUGUGAUGUCCUUUAUAUAAAAUCGCAUGACUUCGUCAGACAUAUGCACAUAUAUACUCAGUAUCAGCUCCAACUACACUUGGAUUUUUGGUUCUCACCAAAUAACUGAAAUAUUUGAAAAUUCAUGAUUUACAUGGAAGGUCCAAAAGAUGUUCGAUAAGCUUAGGAGUUUCCCGGAGAAACCCUUGGAUUUAGGUCUGAAGCUGAAGAACUACAAGGUCAAAGAAGCAGCAAGUCGUACGCCCCAAAUGUUAUAGCCCUCGUGCCAACAAAGUGCUAAAGGAAAACAAAAAGGAUAGAUUUUUCAUGACUUCAAGUUGUGCCUUCCAACUCCAAGAUGAUGUGUCCCAAAGCCCAUAGUCGACCAAACACACCAUAUCGUGGGCUAGCAUAGCAUGGUCAGUUAUGAGACCGAGGGCUCAAAGUGGAGCCAGAGACUACGCGACCAAAUUAGAUUUUUGUGCAUUAUAUGGUGUCUUGGCAGAUUUGCAUUAUAUGGUGUCUUGGCAGAUUUAGAUUCCCCUUAAAAAAAUGCCAUUGACUCUAUGGUGAAUACUAUUUCGGGGUUACAAGGCAACAACAGCUAGACCAAAUUCUGUAAUUUAGCAUGUUCAGCGCAUUCUGGUUGUGAGUAGGUGUAUUUUAGUUCAAGGAUUAUGUGUGCUUG